AGGAUAAUAGUUAAAAUAAUAACAUUUAAUUUGCUAUUAAAAAUUAAUUUAUAAUUUUAUCUUA
rnacentral:tRNA from 1 species